AUUGAACGCUGGCGGCAGGCCUAACACAUGCAAGUCGAGCGGUAGCACAGAGAGCUUGCUCUCGGGUGACGAGCGGCGGACGGGUGAGUAAUGUCUGGGAAACUGCCUGAUGGAGGGGGAUAACUACUGGAAACGGUAGCUAAUACCGCAUAACGUCGCAAGACCAAAGUGGGGGACCUUCGGGCCUCAUGCCAUCAGAUGUGCCCAGAUGGGAUUAGCUGGUAGGUGGGGUAACGGCUCACCUAGGCGACGAUCCCUAGCUGGUCUGAGAGGAUGACCAGCCACACUGGAACUGAGACACGGUCCAGACUCCUACGGGAGGCAGCAGUGGGGAAUAUUGCACAAUGGGCGCAAGCCUGAUGCAGCCAUGCCGCGUGUGUGAAGAAGGCCUUCGGGUUGUAAAGCACUUUCAGCGGGGAGGAAGGCGAUAAGGUUAAUAACCUUGUCGAUUGACGUUACCCGCAGAAGAAGCACCGGCUAACUCCGUGCCAGCAGCCGCGGUAAUACGGAGGGUGCAAGCGUUAAUCGGAAUUACUGGGCGUAAAGCGCACGCAGGCGGUCUGUCAAGUCGGAUGUGAAAUCCCCGGGCUCAACCUGGGAACUGCAUUCGAAACUGGCAGGCUAGAGUCUUGUAGAGGGGGGUAGAAUUCCAGGUGUAGCGGUGAAAUGCGUAGAGAUCUGGAGGAAUACCGGUGGCGAAGGCGGCCCCCUGGACAAAGACUGACGCUCAGGUGCGAAAGCGUGGGGAGCAAACAGGAUUAGAUACCCUGGUAGUCCACGCCGUAAACGAUGUCGAUUUGGAGGUUGUGCCCUUGAGGCGUGGCUUCCGGAGCUAACGCGUUAAAUCGACCGCCUGGGGAGUACGGCCGCAAGGUUAAAACUCAAAUGAAUUGACGGGGGCCCGCACAAGCGGUGGAGCAUGUGGUUUAAUUCGAUGCAACGCGAAGAACCUUACCUGGUCUUGACAUCCACAGAACUUUCCAGAGAUGGAUUGGUGCCUUCGGGAACUGUGAGACAGGUGCUGCAUGGCUGUCGUCAGCUCGUGUUGUGAAAUGUUGGGUUAAGUCCCGCAACGAGCGCAACCCUUAUCCUUUGUUGCCAGCGGUUAGGCCGGGAACUCAAAGGAGACUGCCAGUGAUAAACUGGAGGAAGGUGUGGAUGACGUCAAGUCAUCAUGGCCCUUACGACCAGGGCUACACACGUGCUACAAUGGCAUAUACAAAGAGAAGCGACCUCGCGAGAGCAAGCGGACCUCAUAAAGUAUGUCGUAGUCCGGAUUGGAGUCUGCAACUCGACUCCAUGAAGUCGGAAUCGCUAGUAAUCGUAGAUCAGAAUGCUACGGUGAAUACGUUCCCGGGCCUUGUACACACCGCCCGUCACACCAUGGGAGUGGGUUGCAAAAGAAGUAGGUAGCUUAACCUUCGGGAGGGCGCUUACCACUUUGUGAUUCAUGACUGGGGUG
rnacentral:rRNA from 1 species